rnacentral:rRNA from 1 species
AAACCAGCACCUCAAGUGGUCAGGAGGAUUAUUGGGCCUAAAGCAUCCGUAGCCUGUUCUAUAAGUUUCCGGUUAAAUCCAUUAGCUCAACUAAUGGGCUGCCGAAAAUACUGUAGAACUAGGGAGUGGGAGAGGUAGACGGUAUUCGGUAGGAAGGGGUAAAAUCCUUUGAUCUAUUGAGGACCACCUGUGGCGAAGGCGGUCUACCAGAACACGUCCGACGGUGAGGGAUGAAAGCUGGGGGAGCAAACAGGAUUAGAAACCCCGGUAGUCC